rnacentral:misc_RNA from 1 species
UCACUACUUGCGUAGGCAGUCUGGCUAGAGUCCCCACCAUUACGUGCUGGUAACUAACCACAGGGGUUGCGCUCGUUGCGCCACUUAAGGCAACACCUCACGGCACGAGCUGACGACAGCCAUGCAGCACCUUCCGGCCCGUCCCGAAGGAAAGCUCCCUUUCAGGAGCCGGCAGGCCGGAUUUAGCCCAGGUAAGGUGGGGAUGACGUUUAGGAGCUCGAC